AACCACUUCGGUGGGGAUUAGUGGCGAACGGGUGAGUAACACGUGGGCAAUCUGCCCUUCACUCUGGGACAAGCCCUGGAAACGGGGUCUAAUACCGGAUACAACCGCUGACCGCAUGGUCGGGCGGUGGAAAGCUCCGGCGGUGAAGGAUGAGCCCGCGGCCUAUCAGCUUGUUGGUGAGGUAAUGGCUCACCAAGGCGACGACGGGUAGCCGGCCUGAGAGGGCGACCGGCCACACUGGGACUGAGACACGGCCCAGACUCCUACGGGAGGCAGCAGUGGGGAAUAUUGCACAAUGGGCGAAAGCCUGAUGCAGCGACGCCGCGUGAGGGAUGACGGCCUUCGGGUUGUAAACCUCUUUCAGCAGGGAAGAAGCGAAAGUGACGGUACCUGCAGAAGAAGCGCCGGCUAACUACGUGCCAGCAGCCGCGGUAAUACGUAGGGCGCAAGCGUUGUCCGGAAUUAUUGGGCGUAAAGAGCUCGUAGGCGGCUUGUCACGUCGGUUGUGAAAGCCCGAGGCUUAACCUCGGGUCUGCAGUCGAUACGGGCAGGCUAGAGUGUGGUAGGGGAGAUCGGAAUUCCUGGUGUAGCGGUGAAAUGCGCAGAUAUCAGGAGGAACACCGGUGGCGAAGGCGGAUCUCUGGGCCAUUACUGACGCUGAGGAGCGAAAGCGUGGGGAGCGAACAGGAUUAGAUACCCUGGUAGUCCACGCCGUAAACGGUGGGAACUAGGUGUUGGCGACAUUCCACGUCGUCGGUGCCGCAGCUAACGCAUUAAGUUCCCCGCCUGGG
rnacentral:rRNA from 1 species